CGCAGUGAUAUUCAUAAAAAUAAAAUUCUCAAUCAUAUCGGAAGUGAUAUUCUAAAAAAUAUAUAUAUAUAUUAAUAAAUCAAAGUGGGAUUCUUAUAUUGUUCUCUCUCUUGUGGAAAGAAAAAAAAAAGAUCAAGCAAACGGUGGUGAAACAAAGAAUAAACGAAGGGGGGAAAAGAAAUACAGAAAAAAAGAGAACCGAAAAAAGAUCAGACAAAGUUAAUUGCAACAGAAUGCGAAUCAGCACAGGCCUCGUGUGAAUUUUGGAAGUGUAUUUAUUCUCCGGCCGUCUCAUCGUCUCCGCUUUAAUAGGAUGCCAUGGAGAUUGUGAGUGUUCCUGCCAGCGUGGGCGAGGUGUUAGGAGGGCCUCAGCCGCCGCCCACGCCCACAUUUUCAGACGAUCACCCAUUACACGCCCACAACGACCACGCAGAUCGCGUUCGGACC